CAUGCAAGCCGAGCGGUAGAGAUCUUUCGGGAUCUUGAGAGCGGCGUACGGGUGCGGAACACGUGUGCAACCUGCCUUUAUCUGGGGGAUAGCCUUUCGAAAGGAAGAUUAAUACCCCAUAAUAUGUUGGAUGGCAUCAUUCGACAUUGAAAACUCCGGUGGAUAGAGAUGGGCACGCGCAAGAUUAGAUAGUUGGUGAGGUAACGGCUCACCAAGUCUGCGAUCUUUAGGGGGCCUGAGAGGGUGAUCCCCCACACUGGUACUGAGACACGGACCAGACUCCUACGGGAGGCAGCAGUGAGGAAUAUUGGACAAUGGGUGAGAGCCUGAUCCAGCCAUCCCGCGUGAAGGACGACGGCCCUAUGGGUUGUAAACUUCUUUUGUAUAGGGAUAAACCUACUCUCGUGAGAGUAGCUGAAGGUACUAUACGAAUAAGCACCGGCUAACUCCGUGCCAGCAGCCGCGGUAAUACGGAGGGUGCAAGCGUUAUCCGGAUUUAUUGGGUUUAAAGGGUCCGUAGGCGGAUCUGUAAGUCAGUGGUGAAAUCUCACAGCUUAACUGUGAAACUGCCAUUGAUACUGCAGGUCUUGAGUGUUGUUGAAGUAGCUGGAAUAAGUAGUGUAGCGGUGAAAUGCAUAGAUAUUACUUAGAACACCAAUUGCGAAGGCAGGUUACUAAGCAACAACUGACGCUGAUGGACGAAAGCGUGGGGAGCGAACAGGAUUAGAUACCCUGGUAGUCCACGCCGUAAACGAUGCUAACUCGUUUUUGGGCUUUCGGGUUCAGAGACUAAGCGAAAGUGAUAAGUUAGCCACCUGGGGAGUACGAACGCAAGUUUGAAACUCAAAGGAAUUGACGGGGGCCCGCACAAGCGGUGGAUUAUGUGGUUUAAUUCGAUGAUACGCGAGGAACCUUACCAAGGCUUAAAUGGGAAAUGACAGGUUUAGAAAUAGACUUUUCUUCGGACAUUUUUCAAGGUGCUGCAUGGUUGUCGUCAGCUCGUGCCGUGAGGUGUUAGGUUAAGUCCUGCAACGAGCGCAACCCCUGUCACUAGUUGCCAUCAUUAAGUUGGGGACUCUAGUGAGACUGCCUACGCAAGUAGAGAGGAAGGUGGGGAUGACGUCAAAUCAUCACGGCCCUUACGCCUUGGGCCACACACGUAAUACAAUGGCCGGUACAGAGGGCAGCUACACAGCGAUGUGAUGCAAAUCUCGAAAGCCGGUCUCAGUUCGGAUUGGAGUCUGCAACUCGACUCUAUGAAGCUGGAAUCGCUAGUAAUCGCG
rnacentral:rRNA from 1 species